rnacentral:rRNA from 1 species
CCUACGGGAGGCAGCAGUAGGGAAUAUUGGGCAAUGGGGGAAACCCUGACCCAGCAACGCCGCGUGAGGGAAGAAGGUUUUCGGAUUGUAAACCUCUGUCCUUGGGGAAGAAAAAAAUGACGGUACCGUACGAGGAAGCCCCGGCAAACUACGUGCCAGCAGCCGCGGUAAUACGUAGGGGGCAAGCGUUGUCCGGAAUUACUGGGCGUAAAGAGCACGUAGGCGGAUCGUUAAGUCAACUGUGAAAGUCUUGGGCUCAACCGAAGAAUUGCAGUUGAUACUGGCGGACUAGAGUACUGGAGAGGGAAGUGGAAUUCCCGGUGUAGCGGUGAAAUGCGCAGAUAUCGGGAGGAACACCAGUGGCGAAGGCGGCUUCCUGGCCAGUAACUGACGCUGAGGUGCGAAAGCUGGGGGAGCGAACCGGAUUAGAUACCCGGGUAGUCCCAGCCGUAAACGAUGAAUGCUAGGUGUUCGCAGUGCGAGCUGUGAGUGCCGCAGUUAACGCGAUAAGCAUUCCGCCUGGGGAGUACGGCCGCAAGGUUGAAACUCAAAUGAAUUGACGGA